rnacentral:tRNA from 1 species
CGGGCCGUAGCGCAGCCUGGUUAGCGCGUUGCACUGGGGGUGCAAAGGUCGGGAGUUCGAAUCUCCCCGGCCCGACCA